GAUGAACGCUGGCGGCGUGCCUAAUACAUGCAAGUCGAGCGAACAGACGAGGAGCUUGCUCCUCUGACGUUAGCGGCGGACGGGUGAGUAACACGUGGAUCACCUACCUCUAUGACUGGGAUAACUUCGGGAAACCGGAGCUAAUACCAGAUAAUAUAUUGAACCGCAUGGUUCAAUAGUGAAAGACGGUUUUGCUGUCACUUAUAGAUGGAUCCGCGCCGCAUUAGCUAGUUGGUAAGGUAACGGCUUACCAAGGCAACGAUGCGUAGCCGACCUGAGAGGGUGAUCGGCCACACUGGAACUGAGACACGGUCCAGACUCCUACGGGAGGCAGCAGUAGGGAAUCUUGCGCAAUGGGCGAAAGCCUGACGGAGCAACGCCGCGUGAGUGGUGAAGGUCUUCGGAUCGUAAAGCUCUGUUAUUAGGGAAGAACAAAUGUGUAAGUAACUAUGCACGUCUUGACGGUACCUAAUCAGAAAGCCACGGCUAACUACGUG
rnacentral:rRNA from 1 species